UUCUCCCCCCUUUCUGUAAAUUCUGAAUUUAAUUGGCUGCUUUUGUAUUAAUAUUUUUUUUGGGUAGCGUAGAAUAUAAAAUAUAAGUAUAGGCUUUCUUCCAAUAUAAACUCUCCGGGCAAGAAUAAUAUAUUGAUUCAUAUAUAACUUCAUACAUAACUUUGCUGCUUGUUAGAAAUUCCAAUUAAUGGAAAAGUUAAUCUCUUUUAGUAUUGUUUUGGAUUUUCUGAGAUUUUAUUUAGUGAAAAACCCAAACUUUUCCGCAAUGCUUCCUAACUUUCGCCUCAAUUCAGCAGCUAAUAUAGUUGUGCAUAUGUAACCGCAUUGGCAUUUUAAAAGUAUCAGUGCAGUUGAAGAAGAAAUCAUCAGUAAAAAGGAAAAUAAAAUCUACCCUAUCACUAGAUAAUGAUACUUUGAGACAUCAUUCAUUUUUAGAACAACAACAAACAACAACAACAAAGCCUUAUCUCACUAAGUCGAUCGGCUGUAUAAUCCUAGAACGCUACUGUGUUUGAUUUUGCGCCAAGUCUUCCAUUAACUCAGUGCUUCAUAUCUUUCACUUUUCAAAAGGUAAGAUGAAAAUUUGUGUUUAUUUUUUGUAAGUAAAUUUGUGCAAUCCUAUAUACCCCUUUCACUUUAGUUGCAUGUGAUUUGAGUUCUGGGUUAUUAAUGUUGAGUUACAAGGCUAAAAUUUUUUCUUCAUGUUUUCUUGUUAUUAAGACAAUCGAUUGCAGUUUUAGUAUGGGCUCUGUUAUUGUUAAUCGUAAUCUGAUAGUUAUAAUGCAAACUGAAGUAGUAGUUAGGCAGAUGCCAGAAUCUCUUAAUCUCAUUUUUCUUUGCCGUGCUGGAUUGAAAUGAACGAAUACAUCGGUGAUGAAACAAACCAUGCACAAGAACAAAAGGAACAUGAAAUAGAAGACCCUGAGCUGCUUAAGCUUAUUUUACCGAAUGCUGAAGAUCUGCCUCUCAUCCCUCCCUCUUCUGUUGAAUCCAACUUCGUCUCUUAUUUCGCUCCAGAUUUUAUGAAGCCAAGACAUGACCAGUACAUUUAUCGCCACGCCAAUGGAUUGUGUGUGAUUGGCUUGGCUCCAACACUUGUGGCUCUGAAGGAAGAAGGGGGUAUCACGGCCAUUGAUUUCAAUGUUGGGAAAUCUGAUCGGAGUGGGAUAAAGGUUACUGGAAAGCGCAAGAAGAAUGCACAACACUUGGAAUCCAACUCAGCCUUGUGUAAAGUUUGCACCAAUGAUGCUACUUAUAUUGUGAGUCUUUUGACCGGUGUUGCGUAAAAGGUUCACUAUUGGAAGUGAAUGGUAGAUUAACCAAGCAGCCAGAUUUGCUUAAUUCAGCAGUAAGAAUCAGCAGAUAGAGAAGGAUAUAUUGCCAUUAUCAUGCCAAAGCCAGCAGAUUGGCUCAAAGUCAAGGAUUCGCUGUUAAGCCAUGAAGAUUACAAAAAGUUGAGGGAAGUUUCUUGACUCGUUCUGAAGUUUGCAAAUUGCGCACUUUCAUCACUGAUCCUGGAUGAAAAAGAGAAAACAUUGAAAUCUGCCGUCUCAUCAUGGUGCACACGAGAUUACCCAUCACUUAUUCCUUGCUUGCAAGUGACACAGCUUGAUGUCUUAUUGCUUUUGGCAGUUACAACGCAUACAAGUGGUACAUGUUCUCCCCUGCUUCUGUAUCAUGUAUACCAUCAAAUUUGUAUCAUUUCAGAAAAUAUGAUGGUUUUAAUAAAGAAAAUGCAGUACAUUCUUUA